rnacentral:rRNA from 1 species
CAGAUUGCAGGCUGCAACCCGCCUGCAUGAAGUCGGAAUUGCUAGUAAUCGCGGAUCAGCAUGCCGCGGUGAAUACGUUCCCGGGCCUUGUACACACCGCCCGUCACACCAUGGGAGCCGGUAAUACCCGAAGUCAGUAGUCCAAUCUCGUGAGGACGCUGCCGAAGGUAGGAUUGGCGACUGGGGUGAAGUCGUAACAAGGUAUC